UAUAUAAUAUUGCCGGAAAUUUCAUCCCUUCCAAAUAAGAAUAAAAUUGUCAAACAAUAUUGGGUGUUCUACGGUCAAAAACCGUGAUAUGAGGACAACUCAAACUGUUAUUUUACGUGUGGAUCAUUUCAUUGAUGACGGUCAGCUCGAUUAGUCCCACUUGGUUAAAAAAUUUGCCUUGUGGGAUCAUGCAGAUAAGUAAUUUUAAAUUAGUAAACAUACAAAAUAAAUCCAUACUAUUUUAAAUUUUAA